CCGCUAUCUCUGUCCCAAAAGAACAAUCUUGACAAGCGCUGGAGCUAGAAUAACGUCCCGUUCUUCUUUGUUAGAUGCUACUACUGGGGUCUUGUUGGGGCCGGCCGGCUGUCGGUCAGAAUCUGGGUUAGGUGUAGUAGGCGACCCGGCGUCCGGAUCAGGAGGAAGCAAUCCCGGGCUCCAGCUCGGGGGCGAAGCUGUGCGCCGCCGAUGGCAUCUGAUCCUCCCACACCAAACCAACCUCGUACUCGGGAACGUACUCCUGCGAAUCACACGUGCGUUAAGGUGCGAGGAAACUGUCCGUGGGUGCGGGAUGCGGGUCAGUCAAAAUGGGCAUCCCCUACUUUGAGAGCAAUGGAUCGGAAUCGGAAUCUGAGAGUUUUACCUCAAGCUUGAGAACGAGCUCCUUCGCUGUAGGUGCGGAGAUGAUGAUGCGCCGCGCGUCCUCCUUUAUGAACCCUUCGUUGACAGCCAUGUCGAUGAAGGAUAGCAGCGGAUCGUAGAACCCGUCCACGUUUAGAAGGCCAACCUGGUGAAUAUUUACAAGCAGUUAAAUACAUAAUUCCCUGAGGUAGAUGGUUAUGAGUUAUGGAUAUAGAAAAAAUUUAUAAGUUUAUCAAGCUCCAAACUAUUGGCUAUCGGUAGCCUAUUCCUUACAGAAAGAAUCCUUGUAGGGCCCAUAAUCUCAGUUGAUUUAACACUGAAGCGUUUAAUCAAUUUGGUGGGGGCCACCAGGCUCCAAUAAUAGUAACGGCUGGCUGACGAAUCAAAGUCGAUAACAAUUGGAUCGAUCGAUCAAAUCUUUUCAUCUAUCUAUCAUUUGUGGCUCACUAACGCUGAGCAAUUGUUUAGAGAAGUUGCCAACUACACAUUCCUUUCCAAACGCUAAGUUUGACCAGUACAAGAUAUGCCAGAAUCACCCUAUUAGCUGUGUCGAAAUAUUCAUAAGGAAUUCAGUGGACAAAGCGCAUAAACAACAGAGAGCGCAGAUCGCAUGCUCCCCCAACUAAGUUCUAAUUAACAUCUGUGGAUGUUAAGAGGCUAACUAAACUAAACUAAUAAUUCAACGGUUUGUCUCUGGACAUCCAAAACCCCAGCCAUUCACAUGGGUGCACCGUGCGCCAUGAAGGCAUGAUCAAGGCAAGAUGUUCACAGAAGAUCACAGUAUCUCUAAUCAAACGACUUUGUGAUAAACUAGUAGGAUACAGAAUUGCUAGGACAAAAAGAAUCCUGAAACUUGGAGACACUGCACAUGACUCUAAAUUAUUGCGUGCCAAUGAGUAAGUUCUGGUUUGGAUCCAACAAGGUAUCAGAAUCAGUUGUUACCGGCUUCUUAUGGAUUCCUAGUUGCGCCCAGGUGAUGACCUCAAGCAACUCCUCCAGAGUCCCGUAGCCGCCUGCAAUAUAGCGCGUGUCAAAUUUGGCGUCCCAGGACUAUCAGUUCACAAGUGUUGUAGUUCAACUAAAUAAUCAUACCAGGUAAUGCUAUGAAAGCAUCAGCAAACCGAGCCAUCUCAGCUUUCCUUUCAUGCAUUCCGGAGACUGCCCUUACUUCCCCAACAGGCUCACCAGUUACCUGCAGAAGCAGAAACUUGGAAUCUAAGCAUCUGACACUCUUUUAAAUACUCCUCCGAAAUUAGAAAUGUAGCGCUAAUCCCCCGACAGAUAUGAAUGUAUGUUUCAGGUAUGUCAAUGCAUGACCAUAAUGGUUAUACGUGAGCUCAUCCUUCUUAUUAGAAAACAAAAGACUAGUUCCACAUUAUGCGCUCGUCAAGGACACCGACCAAGAUGAUUCACAAGGACCAAAUCUACAUUGAACAUAAUAAAGUACAGGAGCAGUGCAAGAAGUAAAGAACAAGUCAGUUACUACACUCAAAUCCAGUAAAAACUUCAGAGCAAGCAAGUGCUAUAAUAGUACAGUAAAAUCUUAAAGCCUGAAUAGUGCAGCACGCAUCCAAUGUUCAGGUCAGGAGCAUUAGAUUCAUGUGAUGGAUAUAAAUGCAACAUGUCUCCCUACUCAAAAGGUCCCUUGUUAUUAUUGGUACUUGAUGUCUAUUGUUCACUCAGACGCAAGCCGUGUGACCACAGGUAUCACGAAAGGAGCCAGACAUGCAUUCCAGAGACAGAAGCAGUACACAGCAGCAAUCAAAUGCAAGUCUCCAGGGUGUGCAAGAAGAGGCUCACCUCUCUGGGCAUCAAGGAUCUUGGGAUGACCCUGCAGUCAAGAAAAGAGGGGAAACAGAAAGGCACAUCAGUUUCCAGCAUGAAGCAGUCAAGCAGGUAGAAGCACCAGGCCAUGGCAUUUCCCAUUGCAGGAAACUGGCAAGCCAGACAGGGCUAGCUCAGGCUAGGCACGGCACAGCUAGAGACAGUCUAGAGAGAGAAGCAGACUGUGGACUGGAGCAAAUAAACACUGCACAAUUAUUAAGGCGAAGAAGAGAGGAGAGAAGAGAGCACUGCCUGCCCCCCUUGCAAGUUGCAGCUCGAUGGACAUUUUUUUUUUUGAUAAAGGAGCUCGAUGGACAUUUGGAGCAUGCAACCGAGUAGCCUUUCGGAAACCAGGCCAAAAGGUGCUUCCGCUCCUGUGAGUGAUGAAGCCCAACCCAGUUGCAUUCAAAAUGGCUCCUGCUGAAAUGAUGCAGCAAGAGACUCAAACCAAACGUCUCAACGGCAUACCCAGGGGGCAAGGCCAUGGCUGUGGCGAUCAAAAGCUGCCAUUUUGAUGCAAGAAGGCGCAGGAAGCAUGCACCCACAGCAGGAGCACUCAUCAAGGAGGAGAGCGCCCUGGCAUACACACAGCACAACUUGUCUACUAGAGAGAGAGGGAGGUUAGGAUGCUCACCCAAUCACAUGGCGCCCUCCAUCAUGAACUGCAUGAGACACCAGCCCCAUGAGGCCGAUGGAUCCUCCCCCGUAGACCAGGUCUAUGCCCCUCUCCACCUGCGCAAGACGAAAUCCACUCCUCAUCAACAAUUACCUCAAGAAAUGCAGAGAAAGAAAAGGCGAUGUUUAUAUUGUUAUACAAUUGGGAUUUCGGUGCGCCAAGGAAAGAAGCAAAGAUUGUUCAUUUUGGGGAGGCAAGUGAGGUCACCGCGCGCGGCAGCCAUCCAUCAUGGUCUGCGCGGCGACCAUUCAACAGCGAGACCACACCGCUCAAAAACGGCGAAGGAUCGCGGCGCCUUUCGGCUCCCCGGAUGGCGAGCAGCCGAGAGCGACAAGGCUUGCCGCGUCCCAGCCGUGAGCCGCGCGCGCGCGGAUGCAUGAUCACGCUAUGACGCGGCGUGCGCCACGGCAGCCUCAGCGCUCGGCGCAGCGGCAGCGGGCGGCGGCACACGCCACGGCGAAGGCGCAAUCGAGUGGAGCGAGAGGAACAAGAGAGGCGCCAGAUUGAUCUGGGUCUGGGUCCGGGGGACCAGAGCGGGCGGCGAUUCCCCCCGAAAAGACUGGAUUUUUUACGGGGGUCUCCGGCCCGUAAAGGCGGGAUUUUUUGGGGGGUACCAGAGCUGAAGAGACACGGCCACGUACCAGCUCCUUGCCGAGCUCGACGGCGGCGUCCUGGUAGCUGGGCUUCCGGCCCUUGGCGCUGCCGCAGUACACGCAGAUUCGCUGGAACCGGGACCGCCUCUCGCCGCCACUCCCCGCCUGCGCGGCCACCCCGGCCGCUCCGGCGCCGCCGCCGCUCUUCACGACCAAAGCCGCCUCCAUUGCCAUCGCCGCCGCCGCCGUGCUGGGGGUGGGAGCUCGUAGCUGCCGGUCGAUGUCCGACGAGGUGGCACUGAGAGAGUCGAGAGCCCGCCGCGCGGUUCUUUUGGGUAGGUGUGCGCGGGGGCGUAGCGGGAGGGGAAGGAAGGUGGGCAAGCUGGGGAGGAGGUGCGCACGGGAAAUCGCGAGUGCUCCGACGACUGGGAUUGGG
rnacentral:lncRNA from 1 species